AAGUCCCUUGGAACAGGGCGUCAUAGAGGGUGAGAAUCCCGUCCUUGACACAGAUUACCAAUGCUUUGUGAUGCGAUCUCGAAGAGUCGAGUUGUUUGGGAAUGCAGCUCAAAAUGGGUGGUAAAUUCCAUCUAAGGCUAAAUAUUGGCGAGAGACCGAUAGCGAACAAGUACCGUGAGGGAAAGAUGAAAAGCACUUUGGAAAGAGAGUUAAACAGUACGUGAAAUUGUUAAAAGGGAAACGAUUGAAGUCAGUCAUGCUUUCCGAGACUCAGCCGAUUCUGUCGGUGUACUUCUCGGUUGGCAGGCCAGCAUCAGUUUCGAUCUGUGGAAAAGGUUGGAGGGAACGUGGCAUCCUCGGAUGUGUUAUAGCCCUUCUUCGAAUACAUAGAGCGGGACUGAGGAACGCAGCGCGCCUUUUAUUAGGUUGGCCCUCGGGUACAUACGCGCUUAGGAUGCUGGCAUAAUGGCUUUAAACGACCCGUCUUGAAACACGGACC
rnacentral:rRNA from 1 species